AGGAGGAGGAGGAAGAGGAGGAGGAGGAGGAGGAGGCGACAGCAUUGUGAUGACUCAUGGGCCAUGUAGUCCCGUUCCUAGUACUAUUGUGACAGAUGAAGAGGAAAACUUGGGUUUUCCACCGUUUCAGCCAGAAUUGGAGCCCUUGCACCUGCAAGAUGUUUGGCCACCAGAAGUCAGCCAAACAAGCCCUGAGCAGAAAUCUCCCCCAUUUUCUCGCCGGGAUUAUUAUAAUCAAGAUAGAAGCGCUCGGGAGGCGACUCGCAGGAGCGCCAGGAUAGCUGCCAGACAAUUAGCUGAUUAAGUCUGUUUCCCUUGGGAAACUUUAAGGAGUCAUGCAUCUGGACACAGUAUGGGUUUCGUUUCUUGUUCCCAGGGAAAGUGUUCCUUGGCGGGAAAACAAGAUCCUAUAUAGGUGUUUGUCCGCAAAGAAAUCCUUGCGGAGUCAAUUCGUCAGUUUCUGGAGUGAGAUCGUGUGUAGACUACGCUACUCCAGUUCCUUGUUUCCCGGAUCGAGUUUCCAGCCUUGCCUUGUUUCACGGAUCAAGUUUCCAGCCUUGCCUUGUUUCACGGACUUCUUUGGACUCAGUUCAUGUUUCAUGUUUGCCUCGUUUCAGGUUUUGAUCUAGCCAAGAAUCAAGUCUAUUUUCCUGCCUUGUUGUCAAGCUACUUUGGACCUUAAGGACCCUGUCAUUUCCCCACACUUUGCUUGGCAAAGUGUGUGUUUCGGUUAUUGGAUUAUAACUUUGGACUUUAAUAUCACAUAUUGGACAUUAUUUUCCUGGACUAUAUUUGACCUUUCCUGAAAGGUCUACUUCUGAACUAUAUUCUACACUUGUUUUUAUUGACUUUAUAUAUUUUCUUAAUAAAGAUAUUAGAUAGA